GGAAGCACGUGAACGCUCAACAGUGUCAGAUCCGGGAACGUCCUUCUUCGUGGGCGUAACUAGCUCCGCCCACACUCAUUUCAAUGUUGUAAGGCUUUAUAAAAAAUUAAAAAAAAAUCUGUUUUAAAUAGUGUACAAACAGAUUUAUGCUCAUGUUAGCCUGGUGGAAAUGUAACUGAUCUUUAAAGACGUGCUGUGAGCUUUAUCGGGUUUGUUGGUUGGAACCAAUGCGGAUGAUGUUACUGCUGAUUCUGUUGCUUCCCUGUGUUUGUAACAGCUAUUCAUACCGGUAUGAGUUUGAAUAUGGAAGAACAUUCAGGAUCUAUCUACAAGAAGAUGCUCACACUGUUGAGUUCAGACCCUCAGACGGCUCUGAUGAGCAGAUCCUGUGGUACCAUGACAACCCUUUGGAAACUAAGGUCAGCGGGUGGAGGGCGACAGACUACAGCCUCACAAAAAAUUUGACGCAGAAAGACAGCGGGCAGUACGUAGUGAGAGAUGCUCAUACGAAGAGGCUACACACCGACAAUAUCAAAGUUAUUGCUAAAAGUGAAAACUUUGAAGUCAAGAGCUUUCAUCCCUUUGCCUUCACGGUCAAUCUGGAGCCAUCAUCCUGCAAUAUUUACUUUACUCCUGAAAGCAAAGACGAAGUUCCAAUAGUUCGCCAGGGCAGAGCCUUGUGGGAAUUCUACAAUUGUGGUUGUCAGGGUUUGAAUCUUUUAAAGCCGUGUGGAAUAGAAAAUGACAACCUACUACCAUCAUGCAGCGGACGCUUUACGGUCAAAGAUAAUGACAAGCAAACAGCCAUGGUGGUGACGCUGACGGUUGAAUCAUUCGACACUGUCCCUGUAUACCUGGUCAUCAUCGCGUUCGUUGUGGUCGUAGUUCUCGUCUGCUGUUGUGUGGUUCGCUGCAGCUUUGCAAGGAUGAAUAAGGGACAGAAUCAAUCCCAGUCAGCGGCGGCUCCUCAACCUGCCGUCGACUGCCAAGAGUACGAGCGUGAGCCGGCGAGACCAACACGAGAGCAACGAAACGAACCACCGAGGAAUCAUCGUGUACCUCAUCCUCUUACACAUGGUCCUCUCCCAUUGGAUGCUCCACCUUCUUAUUCUGAGAUAAUAUCACAGUCUCCUCCUCCUCCAUUCGUGUCUGAACCCGGGCUUCGAUAUGAAGUCAGCGGCACCAACUUUGACUUCACUGCUUCGGCACCAAAAUACAGUGACAUUUAUACCUCUGACAAACUCAACUUCCUUUAAAAGCUUUUUUUUCUUCUGAACAGAGCGCACCAGCUCUGAUGAAUGUCAGCGACGGGAACAAAUUGGACUAAAUGAACAAUCAAAAAAGCAAACUGUGUCUGGAUGUAACGUCUCAUUUAACAAGCUUUCCAAAUAUAUAGUUUGUUGCUUAAAAGAGAAAGAUGUGAGAGUGUUUUGACUAAAUGUUGCUGCUUCAUAGUCAUGUUUAUUACUGUCAUUGACUGCAAACAUAGAAAAGGAUGAAUUAUAAAUACUGAUACAUCAAAGAAGUAAAGUCUUGUUUUCAUCACAACAUAAAGAUUACAAUUUAAAAGCCAUAGGUCAGAAAGGAAAGUGUCUAUAAAAGCUUUCCAAAUAACAAAACAUAACAUAAAACCUAAUCUGGGAAUAUUUAUCUUUGUCUUGAAACUGCCUUUGUGGUGUGUGUGUGUCUGUUACAAAUAUAUACAUAUAUACAUAUUCUAAUGUGUGCUCCUAAAACUGAUUCUACUGCAUCUCUCAGGUGUCAUUGUCAUUUGUGCUGCCCAACACUAACUACACUGUGCUGUAUAUUGUUAAUAUGUUACCAUCAUCACCAGGAAUAAAACUAGAUUUGUGCUUUAGAAACA
ensembl:lncRNA uncharacterized LOC114471096